GCUUGUUUGUGGCUUGGGCGGUUUGCUAUAUAUAUAAAGCGAGACGAAAGCCUUUCUCAGUAAAUUACGAGAUGAGACAGACUGUGUUGUUGGAAUUUGUAUACAGCCAAAACUGCAACAACAUCUACAGUAGUGCGCAAAGCUUGACUGUCGAUGUGUCUAACUGAAAGAAAAAAGGGCAUGAACGAGGUGAUGAAGGACGUCUCCAGAAGGGAUUGCAGUGGUUGAAGCUUGUUCAGUUUCGUCGGACUUGAAUAUCUACUCUGAAAAUGAACCACCAUAUCUGCAUCCCUCUUAUGGGCGCAAAAUGAGAUUGUGUGAACGAUAACUACAACUCGACUCAAGGACGACCAUUAAUGUACGUAUUUCCCAACACACCCUGAACUUGCUUUUACAGAUUACAAAAAUUCCUCCGCUAACCUCAUUAACUCAACUUGUAAUAAUGUACUCAGUAUUUCCCAACUCCUGAAUCGCUGUAAUGAGUACCACUACAUCCAAGUGUAAUAUCAGGACCAGUCACGCAAACGUGCCUGCUAGUUUACUCAGGUAACUGAAAUUAUCAGGGAACUCUGUGAACCAUCCCCAUUUGCUUGCAUCUGCUACACUUUACCCUACUGCGGAUCUCUUGUCCAGCAAUACCACAGCAUUUUCUAGGAAAGCAGUUACCCACAACAACUGUGGUACAGGAGGCCUUUCAUGCAAGGCUUCCUAUACACUCACUUCCCUUCGGGGAACGUAAGUAAAACACUGACCUUGUACAGCUAGGAAUCAGUAAGUUUGUGGAGGACUGAAUGACUAUAAAUUACACUUGCCCAGAUUCUUCAUAGCAAAGGAUGCAUUCCAAAGCUUGCCACAUUGUGUGACAAUUCAGUAUUCGACUAGGACAGUCUGUGCAGCUUCUACUCGCUUAAUUCGCUGCUACUCAAUGUAAAAUAUUUGGGCACCAUGCCUGUUCUAAUGAGUUCUUAUGCAACCGAUACAGAGGAGCUAACUGCAGUUCCCUCCACAUUUUCUCAUCCGGGCUUGGGACCGGCAA
rnacentral:rRNA from 1 species